rnacentral:rRNA from 1 species
AACGAACGCUAUCGGUAUGCUUAACACAUGCAAGUCGGACGGACUAAUUAGGGCUUGCUCCAAUUAGUUAGUGGCAGACGGGUGAGUAACACGUGGGAAUCUGCCCAUCAGUACGGAAUAACUUUUAGAAAUAAAAGCUAAUACCGUAUAUUCUCUACAGAGGAAAGAUUUAUCGCUGAUGGAUGAGCCCGCGUCAGAUUAGGUAGUUGGUGAGGUAACGGCUCACCAAGCCGACGAUCUGUAGCUGGUCUGAGAGGAUGAUCAGCCACACUGGGACUGAGACAAGGCAGGGAUUCCUACGGGAGGCAGCAGUGGGGAAUAUGGAACAAUGGGCGAAAGCAUGAUCCAGUAAUACCGGGUGAGAAAUAAAGGCCCAAGGGGUGAAAAGCUCUAGUAGCAAGGAGGAGAAUGACGUUACGUGCAGAAAAAGCACCGGCUAACUAAGUG